GGUGCUGUGGCUCAAGUGGUAGAGUGUUAGCCUUGAGCUGAAGAGCGGAGGGGCAGUGCCCAGGCCCAGAGUUCAGGCAUCAGGACUGACAAAAAAAAUAAAUAAUGCAUGAGACCCUGGGUUCAACUCUCAGUAUCACCA
rnacentral:tRNA from 1 species